CCGGUGCGCAGCUAUAAUGCAGUCGACGAACUUCCGUUAAUUGAUUAUGACGUACUUGUACUGAUUGAGAUUUUAACACGAAGUGAGUGGCGAACGGGUGAGUAACACGUGGGUAACCUGCCCAGAAGUAGGGGAUAACACCUGGAAACAGAUGCUAAUACCGUAUAACAGAGAAAACCGCAUGGUUUUCUUUUAAAAGAUGGCUCUGCUAUCACUUCUGGAUGGACCCGCGGCGUAUUAGCUAGUUGGUGAGGUAAAGGCUCACCAAGGCAGUGAUACGUAGCCGACCUGAGAGGGUAAUCGGCCACAUUGGGACUGAGACACGGCCCAGACUCCUACGGGAGGCAGCAGUAGGGAAUCUUCCACAAUGGACGCAAGUCUGAUGGAGCAACGCCGCGUGAGUGAAGAAGGGUUUCGGCUCGUAAAGCUCUGUUGUUAAAGAAGAACGUGGGUAAGAGUAACUGUUUACCCAGUGACGGUAUUUAACCAGAAAGCCACGGCUAACUACGUGCCAGCAGCCGCGGUAAUACGUAGGUGGCAAGCGUUAUCCGGAUUUAUUGGGCGUAAAGCGAGCGCAGGCGGUCUUUUAAGUCUAAUGUGAAAGCCUUCGGCUCAACCGAAGAAGUGCAUUGGAAACUGGGAGACUUGAGUGCAGAAGAGGACAGUGGAACUCCAUGUGUAGCGGUGAAAUGCGUAGAUAUAUGGAAGAACACCAGUGGCGAAGGCGGCUGUCUGGUCUGCAACUGACGCUGAGGCUCGAAAGCAUGGGUAGCGAACAGGAUUAGAUAU
rnacentral:rRNA from 1 species